GAUGAAGAACGUAGCGAAAUGCGAUAAGUAGUGUGAAUUGCAGAAUUCAGUGAAUCAUCGAAUCUUUGAACGCACAUUGCGCCCCUUGGUAUCCCGAGGGGCAUGCCUGUUCGAGCGUCAUUUGUACCUUCAAGCUUUGCUUGGUGUUGGGUGUUUGUCUCGCCUUUGCGUGUAGACUCGCCUUAAAAUAAUUGGCAGCCGGCGUAUUGAUUUCGGAGCGCAGUACAUCUCGCGCUUUGCACUCAUAACGACAGCGUCCAAAAGUACAUUUUACACUCUUGACCUCGGAUCAGGUAGGGAUACCCGCUGAACUUAAGCAUAUCAAUAAGCGGAGGA
rnacentral:misc_RNA from 1 species